GAUGAACGCUAGCGACAGGCUUAACACAUGCAAGUCGAGGGGCAGCGGUGGUGAAGGCUUGCCUUCACCAGCCGGCGACCGGCGCACGGGUGAGUAACACGUAUGCAACCUGCCCCUGUCAGGGGGACAACCCGCCGAAAGGCGGGCUAAACCCGCGUACAUGCCACCGGGGCAUCCCGGAGGCAGGAAAGGCUUCGGCCGGACAGGGAUGGGCAUGCGGCGCAUUAGGCAGUAGGCGGGGUAACGGCCCACCUAACCGACGAUGCGUAGGGGUUCUGAGAGGAAGGUCCCCCACACUGGUACUGAGACACGGACCAG
rnacentral:rRNA from 1 species